UUAUGGUUAAGUAAAUUAAAAAAACUAAUUUAAAAUCUAACACGAAAUGAAAGGAAAAAGAAUUCAAGACAUUAUGGUAUAAUCAAGGUUGUAGUUACAGUUUCCAGCAUUUCAAUGAAACACUGCUGCUUUACAAAAAAAAAAAAAAAAUGAAGAACCUGGCUUUGCUCGUUGCUGCCAUUAUUUCUCCAUGGAAAUUGUAGAGGAUGGGUUGGCUCGUUCGAGAGAAGUUUUCGAAGUGUCGUUCAUUGGGCAGUUAGUCGAGUCCCUAACAGCUGAAGGUAGGUUGAUCAAUAAUUAUUCACGCGCAAUAUUAAUAUCUCUCCUGAGUCUUGCAGGUAUACCAAUCAAGGCAUUCCUCUCCGUGAACUGGACACGGUUUUUCGCGGAGGCUGGAGACAAAACUUGAUACAAGGAUAAUACUUUCAGUUGUUAGAGGUUUGGUUGGUUGUCUAGUGGAUUAUAUGCUCAAUAAUUAUUCAUGCGCAUAAUACGAGUCUUGCAUGUAACAAUCAACUGAGGCGCCCCCUUCGUGUAUCUUAUAUAGCUCUCCAUGGGAUUGGGGACAAAACCUUAACAUGGGGACACUUCGAUUGUUGGGGUUCAGUCAGCUGUCAGGUGGACGACAAUUUGAAAAUUUCUCCCAAAGGAGCCGACCCUCAACAGAAACAACACCAGCAAACUUCAUAACGUCAAUGGGAAAGGUCGGCGGCGAACGAAAGAGGCGCCGGCUGCGUUGAUUUCUUUGACGGUGCAAAGGCCCGCGCCGCCAGGGAUGUUGGUGCAAGGCGAACCAGCAGAUGGUGGAACGGGCCCCCUCGGCAAGGACUCAAAAUUAGGCACCAUUUUCUUGAAUAAUUGCUCCGUUAAUCCCCGAGGCCUUAUUGCAGCACCAAAUUCUGCAGUAAACGAAAGGAACAGGAUGGUAAAUACAAGUACUGCUGCUGAUCUUCUUCCUUUCAGGAACCCCAUUUUCAAUAAUUCAAGCAGAAUUUGUUUGGGGUUUGUAUGUUUGCUUUGGGGUUGGUGUAUACAUACAUAUAUAUAGUUGCAGAAUUAUGGAAGUUAAAUAAGUCAAAUUCACUAUUUGACUUUGGCGGCGUUUGAUUAACGAUAUAUAUUAAUGGAUUCUUCUC
rnacentral:lncRNA from 1 species